CAGCCGCGAGGUGCAGCAGAUUAUAUUGCAGUUGCAAAAAGUCAUCACACUGUCUUCAUCUCUGACAUUCCAACAAUGAGCAUGCGAAUCCGUGACAAGGCACGAAGGUUUAUCACCCUCAUAGAUGAGUUAUACAAUCNNNNNCUGCCUGUUUUGUUCUGCAGCUUCUUCUAUUGAUGACCUAUUUCAAGGAACUGAAGAGGAC
rnacentral:misc_RNA from 1 species